AGAUGUGUACACAUGGGGGAACAGUGGUGGGGGUAGACUAGGAGACCCAAGCAUCGCUGGUUAUGGACCCUCUAAGAUCUCUGUGUUACCACGUGGAGGUGGUAGGAAUAUUGCUACUGCUGUGUCCUGUAGUGGAGCACACACCCUACUGGCUACCAGGUGUAUGAAGAGACUUGAUCGAACUAGCCCUGAACUGUAAUGUCCUGUUUUGCAUAACUUACUAAUGAGAAAUAUGAAAGCAACUGGAGAAAAUAAAAAAACAAACAAACAUUAUGGUCUUCCUAAAGGCUUUAUACAAGUACAUUUUUUGCUGUAUAAUGAGAUUCUAAAGCUAGAAUUUAAACCAACAAUGGUUUUAUCUUACACUCAGUAUGAAAAUAUAGUGUUUAAAGAUACUGUAACGUGAAGUCCUAGCAUAGGGGUUCCAUUCUUAAUUUUUAGCUUUUAUACCAAUUUUAAUUUCUGAGUUUUGAGUAAGGUGUCAGUGAUCCAUAUCUCACAAAAAAUAAAAUAAA